UACAGAGGUCUCAAGCGUUGUUCGGAUUCAUUGGGCGUAAAGGGUGUGUAGGUGGCGCGCUAAGUCGGGUGUGAAAUUUCGGAGCUUAACUCCGAAACUGCAUUCGAUACUGGCGUGCUUGAGGACUGGAGAGGAGACUGGAAUUUACGGUGUAGCGGUGAAUGCGUAGAUAUCGUAAGGAAGACCAGUGGCGAAGGCGGGUCUCGUGGACAGU
rnacentral:rRNA from 1 species